rnacentral:rRNA from 1 species
UUUAAAUUGAGAGUUUGAUCCUGGCUCAGGAUGAACGCUGGCGGCGUGCUUAACACAUGCAAGUCGAGCGAUGAAGUUUCCUUAGGGAAACGGAUUAGCGGCGGACGGGUGAGUAACACGUGGGUAACCUGCCUCAUAGAGUGGAAUAGCCUUCCGAAAGGAAGAUUAAUACCGCAUAACGUUGAAAGAUGGCAUCAUCAUUUAACCAAAGGAGCAAUCCGCUAUGAGAUGGACCCGCGGCGCAUUAGCUAGUUGGUGGGGUAACGGCCUACCAAGGCGACGAUGCGUAGCCGACCUGAGAGGGUGAUCGGCCACAUUGGGACUGAGACACGGCCCAGACUCCUACGGGAGGCAGCAGUGGGGAAUAUUGCACAAUGGGGGAAACCCUGAUGCAGCAACGCCGCGUGAGUGAUGAAGGUUUUCGGAUCGUAAAGCUCUGUCUUUGGGGAAGAUAAUGACGGUACCCAAGGAGGAAGCC